rnacentral:tRNA from 1 species
UGUGAUUAGGUGUAAGAUGCACAUAAUAUUUUGAUUAUUAAGGUUAAGUUUAAUUCUUUUUUCACAA